ACGGGGCGCAGCAGGCGCGAAAACUUUACAAUGCCGGCAACGGCGAUAAGGGGACCUCGAGUGCCAGGUUACAAAUCUGGCUGUCGUGAUGCCUAAAAAGCAUUGCAUAGCAAGGGCCGGGCAAGACCGGUGCCAGCCGCCGCGGUAACACCGGCGGCUCGAGUGGUAACCGUUAUUAUUGGGUCUGAAGGGUCUGUAGCCGGCCGGAUAAGUCUCUUGAGAAAUCCAGCAGCUCAACUGUUGGGCUUUCAGGAGAUACUGUCUGGCUCGAGGCCGGGAGAGGUGAGAGGUACUUCAGGGGUAGGGGUGAAAUCUUGUAAUCCUUGAAGGACCACCAGUGGCGAAGGCGUCUCACCAGAACGGACCUGACGGCAAGGGACGAAAGCUAGGGGCACGAACCGGAUUAGAUACCCGGGUAGUCCUAGCCGUAAACGAUACUCGCUAGGUGUCGGCCACGGUGCGACCGUUGUCGGUGCCGUAGGGAAGCCGUGAAGCGAGCCACCUGGGAAGUACGGCCGCAAGGCUGAAACUUAAAGGAAUUGGCGGGGGAGCAC
rnacentral:rRNA from 1 species